UUUAAACAUUAUAAGCUGAUUUGGGGAAAAAUUUAUUGACCUAAUCCUUCCCCUUCCUCCUCUCCUCCGUGUUCAUCUUCUUCUAUGUGUCGUCGUGCUCCGCUCCGUCCUGCCGUGCCGUCGUGCUCUUCCUCUUUCUCCUUCGUGCAUGGUGGCUUGAAUGAGACCUCAUCCGUCGUCAACCCCAGCGUCGGUUGUGUGCUUGAGUUCUUGUCAUCGUCCUUUCAUCUACGUCUUCCUCAUCCGUGUUCUUCCUCUUCUCUGCUGUGCCGUCGUGCUUCGUCAGCGGCCUUCCUUUCUCACGCAGUAAACAAUUGCUUUCUUUGAAGAUUUGUGGGUUAUUUGUAGUAGCAGGAAAAACCCCUUAUCUGCGUAUCUGAGUUUGUUGUUUUCCCCUUCAUUGUAAGCAACUCAAUCUUGUAUCUUAUCCCAUUUAAUUGAGUAUUUAUAUUUUGGGUUCAA